rnacentral:rRNA from 1 species
GGAAUAUUGCACAAUGGGCGAAAGCCUGAUGCAGCAACGCCGCGUGAGGGACGAAGGCCUUCGGGUUGUAAACCUCUUUUAGCAGGGAAGAAGCGAAAGUGACGGUACCUGCAGAAAAAGCA